rnacentral:rRNA from 1 species
UACGUAGGGUGCGAGCGUUAAUCGGAAUUACUGGGCGUAAAGCGUGCGUAGGCGGUCCCGCAAGUCCGCUGUGAAAGCCCCGGGCUUAACCUGGGAACUGCAGUGGAAACUAUGGGACUUGAAUCUGGCAGAGGGGGGUGGAAUGCCACGUGUAGCAGUGAAAUGCGUAGAGAUGUGGCGGAACACCGAUGGCGAAGGCAGCCCCCUGGGCUGAGAUUGACGCUCAGGCACGAAAGCGUGGGGAGCAAACAGG